AGGGGCAUAGUUCAGUGGCAAGAGUGCUUGCCUACUAUGCAGAAGGCCCUGAGAAUAUCUCCACCUUUGAAAAAUAAUCCCAGUGACUCAGGAGGCUGAGGCAUGAGGAUCACAAGUUCAAGGCCAGCCUCAGUAACUUAGUGAGACCCUGUCUCAAAAUAAAAAAAAUAAAAUGACUGGGCAUUUAGCUCAGUGGUAGAGCCCCUGGGUUCAAUCCCCAGUGCCCCCC
rnacentral:tRNA from 1 species